rnacentral:rRNA from 1 species
UAGGGAAUAUUGCACAAUGGACGAAAGUCUGAUGCAGCAACGCCGCGUGUGCGAUGAAGGCCUUCGGGUCGUAAAGCACUUUUCUGGAGGACGAGGAAGGACGGUACUUCAGGAAUAAGGAUCGGCUAACUACGUGCCAGCAGCCGCGGUAAAACGUAGGAUCCGAGCGUUAUCCGAAUUCACUGGGCGUAGAGCGCGUGCAGGCGGCAUAGCAAGUUGGAUGUGAAAACUCCCGGCCCAACUGGGAGAGGACGUUCAAAACUGCUAGGCUAGAGGAUGGUAGAGGAAGGUAGAAUUCCCGGUGUAGUGGUGAAAUGCGUAGAUAUCGGGAGGAAUACCAGUGGCGAAGGCGGCCUUCUGGGCCAUACCUGACGCUCAGACGCGAAAGCUAGGGGAGCAAACGG